rnacentral:rRNA from 1 species
GACGAACGCUGGCGGCGUGCUUAACACAUGCAAGUCGAACGAUGAAGCGGGUGCUUGCACUCGUGGAUUAGUGGCGAACGGGCGAGUAACACGUGAGUAACCUGUCCUUUUCUUUGGGAUAACGGCUGGAAACGGCUGCUAAUACUGGAUAUUCAGGCUGCAUCGCAUGGUGUGGUUUGGAAAGGUUUUUUCUGGGAUUGGGUGGGCUCGCGGCCUAUCAGCUUGUUGGUGGGGUGAUGGCUUACCAAGGCUUUGACGGGUAGCCGGCCUGAGAGGGUGGUCGGUCGCACUGGGACUGAGAUACGGCCCAGACUCCUACGGGAGGCAGCAGUGGGGAAUAUUGCACAAUGGACGAAAGUUUGAUGCAGCGCCGCCGCGUGGAGGGUGUAGGCCUUCGGGUUGUGAACUCCUUUUUCUCGCGAAAAAGGCACAGUUUUGGCUGUGUUGAUGGUAGUGGGGGAAGAAGCGCCGGCUAACUACGUG